rnacentral:rRNA from 1 species
UACGGGGGGAGCAAGCGUUGUUCGGAUUUACUGGGCGUAAAGGGCGCGUAGGCGGUCAGCACAAGUCAGUUGUGAAAUCUCCGGGCUUAACCCGGAAAGGUCAACUGAUACUGUGCGACUAGAGUGCGGAAGGGGCAACUAGAAUUCUCGGUGUAGCGGUGAAAUGCGUAGAUAUCGAGAGGAACACCUGCGGCGAAGGCGGGUUGCUGGGCCGACACUGACGCUGAUGCGCGAAAGCCAGGGGAGCGAACGGG